CAAAUUUAUUUCUCUGUUUGAAUUAGAAAUUUAAUCUUAGAGGUAUCCGAAUUGCGUCCAAAAUUUCGAGGGAUUUUCAGGUAUUAAAAACCUGCCAAUAUGGAGAAGAUUAACACCAACAUUGGUAAAAUUAAAUUAAGAUUCAGGAGAGGACUCUAUUAUUCAUAGGCAGUUGCUGUUAGAUUCGGAUCGAUUGGCGGAAAAGUCUUAGAAUAUACAAUAUACAGGAUGUUACAAAAAGAUGAAAGUACAGACUCGGUACCGAAAAAAGAAGAAAGAUUUAUGUGCCGCCUAUCAUCGUAUAAUUACGUCAUCAUAGUCGCCAUGCUCAAACACAGUGACACCACAAAAAUAGUU
rnacentral:lncRNA from 1 species